UCUCUGUCUUUGGUGUUUUUUUUCCUCUGUUCUCUGUCCAACAGUAACUAGUUAUAUUUUAGUUUUGAAGUAUAUAAACUGAGCAAGCAAAUUUAGUUUAAAUGGUAUUAAGAGUAUUAAAGCAUCAUGCUUACCUAAUUUCUAACAUACCCACGUUAUCGGAGCAUAGUGGUCUUCAUUUUUUGGGCAAUCAUCGUCAAUCUUCCUACUCGUGAAUAUUCGUUCAACCUACAAUUGAGGUAAAACUUAUAAUUACAAAGUUAUGCAGAAACUAUAAUGAGGUUGGUGUGAAUUGUACUAACUAAACAACUAAAAUUCCUUGAAAAUGUUAGUAUUAAUUGUUGUCGUGGUGACAAUCUCCAUGUAUUACAGUGUUGUAAACUCUACAUUGUGUCUUGAUCAUAAUUAUUUUUACCUUUAUUUUUUGGUUGAAUAGACCUUUGAACCAUAAAGUAUUCAUUUACUAGAUGAGUUAGUAAUGAGGUCUUAAUUUGAAUAGGCCUUACAGAAGUAUUUUUUAUUCUCAAUAUGAUGGCAGUUUACAAAGUGGAACCACUGAUCGAAGCGCUACACGUUUAACUUGGAUUUUGAGAAUUAUAAUGAGGAGACUUAUAUAACUGAAAAAUUCUCUUAGUCUCCUGUAGCUGGUAAUUUCAUUUGUAUUCCUAAGUUGGUUCUGUAGACUGGAUUAUAAGUGUUGAGAGCAUCUAUGAUUGUAGCUUAUUAGUCCUCCCUUUACAUGAAAGAUAUAUUUGCUCUGAUUGUAUAUUUACAUGGUUUUAGUUAGAUCUUCUGCAUUUACUAGCAGAUCUCGAAAGUUAGACUUUUUUUUAAUGAAAUAAUUUGCCCCAUUUUUGCUACCCUGCUGCAAAUAGAUUUCUUUUGAGCUGAGGGUCCGUCGAAACAACCUCUAUACUAUGUAAAGAUAGAGAUAAGCUAGUGCGUACAUCUUACCCUCCCCAGACCAACUUGUGGGAUAUCACUUUUAAGUCGUUAUGGUUGUGGUCCUUGCAGAAGUGUUGGGAAAGUUGGUCCCAUUUGAUAAAUUAAUGAAUCAUCAUGCUCUAAUUUUUCACUUUCAGUUAGCCAAAUAAAGGGUAUUUUAAAAUUUUGUUUCCUUGGCCACAAACCAUAUAGUACUUAAAAUAUAUUUCGAAAAAACAGAGAAAAUUGACUUAACGGUCUUCAUAAUCAUUUGCCAUUUUAUAUGUAAAGUUUUUCCUUUAUGCUCGGUAGUUUAAGCUUUAUUUACCAUCUCUCACACGGUCACACAUAGUAUCUUUACAUUUUGUAUCAUUUAACUUCAUUUGUGUCAUUGACCACGUCGUACUUUAAACUCUUGAACGAAUGUCAAUUUUUAAUCUAAGAUCAUUAUUCUUGUAUGUUGCCUCAGGGUUAAAAAACUAAAGGGUUUAUAACGUGUCCAAAUUCUCUUUAAACGAAGAAAAUGGAAAGCACAUGUUAAAGGACCAAAUUAUUUAAAAUAAAUAACUAGAAGGAGAUGCUAAUGGGAGAUGUGAAAAGAUAUUAGAUGGCAUAGUCAUGAAAAAGUUACUCUCUUGGGUAUCUUGAAAAACAUUUAACCCAUCUUUUACGUAUUUAACCCCUUCAAUCGUAUGUUGUUCAACAUUUUCCUUUGAUGAUAUGUUUAACCCACCUUUUAUAUAUGUAACCCCUUCAAUCGUGUAUUGUUCAACAUUUUCCUCUGAUUAUAUAUUGCACAAUAGUUCUCCUUAAAAAUAAUUGAUGAAAGUCAGCCGUGUAACACCCCAACUUAGAAAGGAGUCCCACAUCGGCAAAACACAGGAGAGAUGUUGGCUAAAUAAGUGAGAAAGCCUUACUUCCUAGUGAUGUGUUUUAAAGCCGUGUGGGCCUAGGCCUAGAGCGGACAAUAUCACUAGUGGGAUUGGGAGUGGCAGGGGUAUCUCGAGCCUGUGUGGUUCGGGAUACCCGUCGCGGCCAGGGCCUUGGGUCAGGUCAUGACAUCAAAGCUUCUCCUGUAUCAUCCUUGUUGAUGUGGGCCAGAGUUCAAACUGAGUGUAGGCAAAUCCCGGUAAGGUGGUGUAAACCUCAGUCCUGAGUUUUAGGCAAAUCUCAUUCGGUGGGGCAAACCUCAACGAGGACGCUGAGUCCAUAAAGGAGAAAGAAGUCCCACAUCGGCAAAACACAGGAGGGAUGCUGGUAUAUAAGUGAGAAAGCCUUACUCCCUAGUGACGCGUUUUAAAGCCGUGUGGGCCUGGGACCAGAGCGAACCAUAUUACUAGUGGGUUGGCAAAUCCCAUUUGGUGGGGCAAACCUCAGCGAGAACGUUGAGUCCAUAAGGGGAGUGUAUGUAACACCCCAACUUAGAAAGGAGUCCCACUUCGGCAAAACACAGGAGGACGCUGAGUCCAUAAGGGGGGUGUAUGUAACACCCCAACUUAGAAAGGAGCAAAACACAGGAGAGAUGCUGGGUGUAUAAGUGAGAAAGUCUUACUCCCCAGUGAUGCGUUUUAAAGACGUGCGGGCCUGGGCCUAGAGCGGACAAUCUCACUAGUGGGUUGGGGAGUGGAAGGGGUAUCUUGGGCCUAUGUGGUUCGGGAUGCUCGUCGCGGCCACGGCCUCGAGUCAGGUCAUGACAAGCCAGGUGCACUAAACUCUACUAUCCAUGGGAUCUUGGAAUUUUUGCAAGAUUCUUUUUCUACAAGUUGAAAUUCUAACUUCCCAAUUACAUUACAAUAAAAACUUAAUCAGUUGCACCAAGUAAAUUCUAACUUCCCAAUUACAUUACAACAAAAACUUUAUCAGUUGCACCAAGUAAAGUUUUAAAAUACAGGUAAUUUAUCUAAUUUAAAAUUUUAAAAUAUAGGUAUGAUCAUACGAUUUGUUGAAAAUGAAGGUGAAAUCUGUAAGAAAAUUAAAAGAUAAUCAACCGAUUGAUCAUUGAUUUUUGUGAUGUCAAGAUUCUCCCUUUACAAAUUUAUCACACCGACAAUUUUAUGAAUUUAUAUGUUACAUUUUAGACUAAUACUCUUAACUUUGUUUCCUAUUCUAAUUAAGAACUUCGCAAUAUCAACAAGUUACAUUAGUAGUGUUCUAAUCAAUUCAACAUUUAAAAAAGGUUAUGGAUCUCCUAAAUUGAUAUUUUUAAUUUUUUCCAUUUCUCUAUUACCUCAUCCUUUGGCCUGCUAGCAUGUUGAAUUUUGUAAUUAGCCCGAUUUACGUAUCAUUAUAAUAUGAGGUUUUUGAGUUAGGAAUAUCGACUGAUAAGUAAUUGAGUAUUGACUGUUAUUUAGCUUCUUUGUUUCAUGCAUAGUUUUAGACUCUGUUCCACUCAUGCACUUCAACCGAGCACUAUAAUCAUCUUCUCCCUCCUCCUCCCUACCCCCACCCCCCAAAACCUUCCCUCAAUCCCCCAUUUUACUCUUCGUAUAUCCACCUUGCAAUUUGUUUAUUUUCGAUUGAUGGAGGCUUUGGCUGAAAGAAGAACUUCACAUGAUUAAUUCUACAUUGUACUUUCAAGACAAAAUAAUAAUGUGAAAAAAGAACUUUUGGGACGACAAAGCAAUUGAAACAGAUGAAAGAAAUGUGUCACGACCCGAACCGAGGCCCUGGCCAUGACGAACAAUCCGAACCAUGAACGCCCAGACGCCCAUCUAACUUGUAAUCACAUACACCAUUCAUAUACAGAAAAGAAAUGCCCAUUCAUAUACAGAAAAGAAAUGCGGAAAUAUAACUGAGUAUGGGAUCAUGGUGAUGCUCUGAAAUCAACAAAAUGUUAAAGACUGUAAUUCAACAAUAUCUAAAGUAAUAUCUAACUCCAUCUGUGAAACCUCUACUACAUAUGAAACAAAGAUGUCUGAAAACUGGGACAAGGCCCCAGUAGACCAAAGCCAUAAAUAAAUGUCUGAAAUUUAAAUAGGUCUUCUGAAACAUAGAAGGCUCACCAACUGAACUCUACACUUCUGUCUGGAAAGAUCUACUGCUCAGCCGGACCGCUAGACUGAGCCUCAAACCCUGAGAGGUAGGGGUCAAUACAGUUGUACUGGUAUGCAGAGCAAACCCAAAAUAAUAUUUGAUAUCAACAUAUAUGAGAGAAAUUUAAAAACGGUUCAUAAAUAUGUCACAUAGUAAAAGUCACAUGGGCGUGGUUAGAAGACUCUAUAAAACUAUCUGAACUCUGUGACAUACUCUUUGUUUUACUUCUGCACUAGGUGGUAUACCCUACAAUUCUGUAAUUCCAUGAGAAAUAUGGAAUCUGUCCUUAACACGGCAGACAAGCCUCCAACCCAAGUUUGCUGCAAGGGUCGGAGUCUCUGAAUCUCUACUAUGCCAUAGGGUCGUCGCCAGCGUACAAAAGUAACAUACCCAUAUCGGCAAAAUACGGUUUUUGGCUAUGAGUCAAUUGACUCGUGCCCUCUUCGAGUAACCACCUAACCCUCUUUAAGCCCAUUUUUAAUUCUUUACAACAUGCAAUCUUUGAAAAUCAAACUCUGAAGACUCUAGUUCUGUUAUGGCAUAUAUUUACAUGGUAUCGUCAUACCAUUGACUUCCAAGUCACAUUCUCUGAGCCAUUUAUAGAAAAUUAUGUCUCUAUUCUCAAAUCAUGGAAUUCAAGACCACCAUAUCAACAAUUCUUUUCAAGAAACUCAUUCUUUAAAACUCAUGUGAAACCAAGCAAGCAAUUCUCUUUAUCAACGAUUCAAUAAACAAAGGUGGUCAUGUCAAAAUUCUUAAUUUCAUGCAAUUCUUUAUCUUUAACACAAAACAUAGAUAUCUCAAGAAACACCCACUCGUCAUCUCUAAAUCAUGUUCAAAUACUAUGACAUUUAGAAGACUACUUUCACAUUGUAAAACAUACAUUUCAACUCUUUUCUGACAAAACCAUAAACUUUAAUUCAAUACACGAGAGGAAAUUCAUAAUUUGUUCUCUCAAACAAUCUCAAAUCUCAAUUUUCAUUCAUAUACAUAUACAUGUAAAUCAAUUUAAGGGAAAAUACCACAAUGCCAAAGCAAUAGUAACUUUGAAACAUUCAGAAUACAUAAUUUAAAUAUAGAUAGAACCAACAGCCACAUAAGGGGUCACAUAUGACAGGGUAGACCCGGGAUCAAGUAACACAUAAACAUCAGAAAAAAGAUUUACAAUGAACCAGUAACUACAUUUGGUAAGGCCUCUGCCUCUUGGCGGUUGGUUAAGUCGUACAACUGGUUGUGGCAGUUUUCGGCGGCUAAAGUGGCACCCUUCUGAAGCGGUGGUGGUGCAGAAGAAUUAGCAUGUGACUUGGCUCUACCAACAUUACCCUUUGCUACCGGACAUUCUCUCUGGAUAUGGCUUGGUUGGCCGCAUGAAUAACAAAUCAUAGAGCCAAACUGACAUCUCCCUGGAUGAUUCCUCCCACAUUUCUCACUACGCAUGUAUGUUCGAGAGGUCUGAUCUACACUUCCUUGAGACUGCGAACCCUGCUUCCUCGGCCUCUGCCUAUAUUAAAAAUAUUGAGUGCGCUGUUCGGCUGGGGUCCUGGUCACCAGCGCACUAGCUAUAGACUGCGUAUUACUAAUUCUUCUUCUUUUGCCAUUUAUUACCCCAAUUCCCACUCUGCUGUUGACUGUAGCUCUGGUAUAUAGUUUUAGAUCUCUUUCCCNNNNNNNNNNNNNNNNNNNNNNNNNNNNNNNNNNNNNNNNNNNNNNNNNNNNNNNNNNNNNNNNNNNNNNNNNNNNNNNNNNNNNNNNNNNNNNNNNNNNNNNNNNNNNNNNNNNNNNNNNNNNNNNNNNNNNNNNNNNNNNNNNNNNNNNNNNNNNNNNNNNNNNNNNNNNNNNNNNNNNNNNNNNNNNNNNNNNNNNNNNNNNNNNNNNNNNNNNNNNNNNNNNNNNNNNNNNNNNNNNNNUUUCCCUAUUUUAGAUUCAUCAACUCUGCAGCUUUGGACUCCCUCAACUCGAGAGGAAAGAACCAAUUGAGGAAGACUUCCACAAACUCAGCCCAAACUGUGGUCUUGGUAUGCUCACUCUUUGAAUCUUUCCACUCAUUAUACCAUUGGUUCGCUACAUCCUUAAGCUGGUAAGCUACUAACUCAACCUUCUCUACCUCAUCUACAUGUAUCACCUUAAGGAUCUUCUCCAUGUCGUCCACAAACUCUUCUACCUUGGUACCAGUAAACUUGGGUGGGUGCAUCCUCAUGAAAUGGCCCACUCUUGUAGCCUCAGAUGUAAAAGAUGCAGACCCAAUAUCUUCCGACCAUUGAGUCUGUGUGGCUACCAACUAUGCAAGCAUGUAAAUGGACUGUCUGAAUUCUGCAUUAUAUACUUCUCUCUCACGAGGCUGAGUACAGUUAGUCCCCAUUUGGGGAGCUCUAGGUGCCCUAGGUGGGCUGGUCUGAGUAAGUAGGACUCUUAGAGUAGUAUCAAUCUCUGAAGUUUGAGCUCUAUUUCGGGUCCUCAUCCGAUGAGUAGGACGUACCUCAUCUGUCUGAGUAUUCUGAUCGUUAGUACGACGGGUAGGUAUGAUUGUUUUUCUGAAAUGCAAGAGAUCACGGAUUAGACUCCAAAGCACGAACUAAAUUACAAAGAGGGGAAACAUUCCUAAAUGCCUAGUAGCCUCCUGAUUAUAAGUGUGGCACUCUACACACCAAUAAAUAAGAUUCUACCCGACGCAAUUUUGCAGACACCCUAGGACCAUGAACCAUGCUCUGAUACCAAGUUUGUCACGACUCGAACUAGGGUCUGGCCGUGACGGGCAUCUCGAACCAUGAAGGCCUAGGCGUCCUACUCUAUCUAGUAAUCAUGCACAAUAUUAACAUAAUAAAAGAAGAUGCGGAAAUAUAAUCUGAUAUAGAAACAUGGUCAUACUCUGGAUUUAGUUUAACAAUAAGGAAUGAAAUCCGAACUCAACUAAACAACAUCUAGAAUAGUCUGUGAAAUCUCUAAUACAUGAAAAUCUGAUAACUAUCUGAAAGCUGGGACAAGGUCCCCAGUAGACCUAAAGAACGGAAUAACAUAAUUUGAAAUAACAGGCCUUCUGGAACAACGAAGGCUCACCACUGCACAGAUCACUUCUCUCUGGGAUACUCUACUGAUUAACCGGACCCUUAGACUGAGCCUCCGAACCUGGGAGGUAGGGGGUCAAUAAAGAUGUACUAGUAUGCAGAGCAAAUCCAAAAUAAUAAUUUAUAUUCAACAUAUAUGAGAGCAAUUUAAAAACAGUUCAUAAACAUAUCAUAUAGUAAGAAAUCUCAUGGGCAUUUCUGAAAAAGUCUGAAAGAAAAUCAUCUGAACUCUGAGACAUUCUUUGUUUUACUUCUACGCUAGGUGGUAUACCCUACAACUCUAAAAUUCCACGGGCCAUAUGGAAUCCGCCAUUGACUCGGCGGGGAAGCCUCCAACCCAAGUGUUUCGCAAGGGUUGGAGUCUCUGACUCUGCUAUGCCACACGGCCGUCGCCAGUGUAAAAAUAAUAUACCCGGAUCGGCAAAUCACAAUUUUAGGAUAAGAGUCACUUGAGCUGUAGCCCUCUUCAAGCAACCACCUAACUCUCUUUAUGCCCAUUUUUUAACUCUUUAAGACAUGCAUUCUCUGAAAACAUACUCUGAAAACUCUAACUCUGUUAUGGAAUAAAUUUUUAUGGUAUCGUCAUACCAUUGACUUGCAAGUCACAUCUCUGAUCCAUUAUUAGCAUAUAAUAAUCUCUAUUUCAAAACGUAAAUCUGGGACCACCACAUCAAUAAAUCAUUUCAAGAAACUCUUUCUUAAAGCUCAUGUAAACAUAUGCAAGAAAUUCUUUUUUACCAUUUCAAAUACACAAGGUGGUCAUGUCAAAGAUAUCAAUCAUAUGCAAUUCUUUCUUUGUAAGAAAAGGACGAACUCAUAACAAGAAACUCCCUCUCAUCAUCAUAAAAAUCAUGUUAAAUACUUAAAUGUUGAAAAGAUCCCCUUCAAAACAUUAAACAACCAUCUCAAAUCAUUCCCGACAAGUUCAUCAACUCUAAAUCAUCAAAGAGAGGGGUUUCCAUAAUAAUGCUCUCAAUCAAAUCUUCAACAUCAAUUUUUUUAACAGCAAUCAUUAAUAAAUUACUGGACGUUGACUAAUAAACUGACUUUUUCCUCACAUUUAAUCCAUUCAUCUAACCUUGCUCAUGAGCUUUAUAACGAUAAACAACUUUCUAUAGGAGUUAUAAAAUGUAUCCCUCUUCAAAAACUUCAUGAAUGCAUAAUUCACCAUUGUACUCCUUCAUGCGGUCUUUUUACAACGCUUUAUAUCGAAAGUGAAUUUCACCCCACAGGUUCAAACACUUAAACUAAGCAAGAUGUGCAACCACUUGCAUUUUAGUAUACCAUUUUCCUCCUCAGACGUGCUCUUUGUUCAAGCAAGCAAACAACUAGUGAGAGUCGAAAUGGAAUAUCAUAUGUAGUGUUGAAUUCAAUCUGAAACUCUUAUGAACAAGCGAGGAAUGAAUUACCACAAGCUCCGCUUAAGCGUUCGACAUACAUUUAUGCUAUCCCGAUAUUUUUUUUCUGUUAAUGAAUACUGACAUGAAUUGAACAUUUGUUGAAUGGCAGAACAACGAUCAAAUCACAAAACAUAAACUUCAGCCAAAAUCCAACAAAAACAACAUCCAAAUUACAGUCACUUUUCAGCAAAAACAAUAGCUGAAUUCCAGCAAAUACACUAUCGAAAUCGCAGCCAUUUUAAGUAAAAUAUAACAACUAAAUUCCAACAAAAAGAUCACCCAAAUUCAGAAAAAAUAAUAUCCAAGUUGCUGUCAUUUUUAUCAAAAAGAGACAGUCAAAUCAAAAUUACAGCAGCCAAACAAUUUCAAGAUCCAGCACUAGCAAAAACAGCAUACAGAGUGAGCCAUUUUAACCCCAGAAUGUAGAUUCAUUUUCUUGUGUACAUUGAGAACUUUCCCAAGAAAAAUAUGUUUCAAUGUCUACUUCGCUAUCUCCCAUUUGUACUUGUUCCACUUCAUUCCAUCCUCUUCUAACCUGAAAAACAAUAACAAGUAUAAUGUUAUGCCAAAUUCAACUUAUUAAAUUAAAAAUCAAAGCUACCAUAAAAUCCGACAUUACAUGUAAUUUUUGAUGAAAUGAAGAGGUAGUUUCUGGUGUCACAGUGUAGUAACCACAAGUUCCUUUAUUAUGGCUAGGUUUGUGACGUGCUGCAAUUUAGAGAGUCCUGCUUUCGUUUCAUCUAUGUUUGACUAGCUCCAACUUCAUCUUCUUCCUUCUUUUGCAACUUAGGUUUUCUUCCUUUCUUCUUAACUUUUGUAAUUUUUGGAGGAAGGGGAGGAAGUUUACUUGACUUAGGCCACAUUUGUCGUCCAUUCAUUGGAAGAACUGAUUUUUCAUAAAUUCUCCUAUAUGUUUCCACCUUGUAACAAUUGUGAACUUAGUCAAGAAUGUUAUUUUUUUUUGCCCAAACUGCCGCAAUAACAUGCUUGCAAGGAAUUCCGGUGAGACUCCAUUUCCUACAACUACAAGUUUGGUUCUUCAAGUCAACUAUCCAAUUUUCCAUAAUUGUAGCUCCCAAGAUUUCAUAGCUCCAAUGAUUAGAUCUUCUAGGGAUAUAUUCAGCAGCUGCAAUCUGAUUCUUGUGUAAUAUAUCCUUGAUCCCAGGACAAACAUCUCCCAAUUUCCAUUUUUGUGCUUUUUCUCUAUUAGCUUGUAUUCUAGCCAUGAGAAGAUACCGCAACUUCUCCAAAAGUGUCACAAUUGGCUUGUCUCUAGCAUCAAGUAUCAUGCUAUUAAACACUUCACACAAAUUAUUUAACAAAAUGUCACACUUAACAUCUGAAGAGAAAUGCGAUCUUGACCAUUCACUAAGUUCUUUUUCAUUUAACCAAGUAGCAGCAUCAAGAUCUAACUUUGAAAUAUUCUUCAUGCAGUCAUCAAACCUUUUGACAGUACUAGCCUUUGCAGCAGCCCAAAGUUCUUUUUUUAAUGUGACACCGCCAAAGCCAGCAAUUUUAAAAUUGUUAUGAAGGUGUCUAACACAGUUGCUGUGACUCACAUAAGGUAAGACAUCAUUAAAUGCUUCAAUAAGACCUUUUUGCUUGUCAGACAUAAACGUCCAACCAUUCUCACCUAUACACAAAUCAGCAUUCAAAUAAUUUAAAAACCAAUUCCAUGUCUCUUUACUUUCCUUUACUACAAUCGCAUAUGCAACAGGAAAUAUAUUGUUGUUACCAUCAAGGCCAACGACGGAUAAUAGUUGAGUCCCAUAUAUUGGACCUUUCAACCAACACCCAUCCAUGCCUACUAUUUUUCUACAACGCGCUCUAAAGCCAAGCUUACAGGCAGCAAAACAGAUAUAGAUUCUUUGAAAUCUCUGUGGCUCAUUGGGGACCUCAUUGUCAUUAAGCUUCAUGUAUAUUGUGCUUCCUGAAUUUGUUCUAUUAAUCUCAUUGCAAUACUCCCACAUCAUUUUGUAUUGAUCUUUAAUAUCACCAUCAAUUAAUGCAAUCGCUUUCAUCUUAGCUCUUUUAGCUUGAGAUAAGGUCACAUGAGCUCUUAGUUCAAUACUUUAUCCCGAAAUUCUGCCACACUCCAAUUUCUAUUCGAUGCAACUUCUUUGAGGUACUUUCUUGCAAUGAAAGAUGAAGUGAUCAUCCUAUUUUCAUAAUGCCACUCCUUACAAGUAUGUACGGGAUCAUAAGUUCGAACCUGGAAAGCCUUGUCUCUUUGCAUUUUUGAAGCCUUGAUUUUCCAUUUGCACUCUGGAUGAUGUAUGCAAAUUGCUUCCACUCUUAAAUUAUCAUUCCUACACCAUUGAAUAGACUUUCCAUUCUUAAUCUCAUGAGUUGCUACAGAAUUUUUAAAGUCCAUCUUUGUAUCAAAGACAUAUUCGAGACCUAAUACUGGGUUAUCUCCAUCGGUCUUUGGAUUGUGCUGAGGAAAAUUGAAACUUUCUGUAACAUCUCACACUUUGUAACUUGUGAAGUACCUUCGAGGGAAAAUUUGUCCUUUCCUUUUUACCUUUACCCCAAGUGAUUAAAUUCCUUUUUAUUCAUCAGUAUUCAAACGCUUGUUUUUCCUCUGGCAGACAUUAUUUCAACAUGUAGUUCUUUAUUUUUCCAUCAGUUACAGUCUCUUUGUUUGCCUCACUUACUCACAUUAAAAAAUCCAUCAAUUACAAUCUCUCUGCCUUCCUCAAUUACACACAAUAAAAAAAACUGUAAUUUCUCCAACAGUUAUACAAACUAUUUCAUCAUCCAGAAUUCCAGCUUUCCUAUCAAAUCAAUCAUAAAAAAAAAAAGAAAUCCGAGAGAAUUGGCUGAAGGAUCAAUCUUAGUUUCAUCCCUUCCGGUAAAUAACUUCUCUAACGUUUCGAGGUAUGUAAGAUUAUUUCUUUUAUGUUAUCUCUUGGUUUUGUUUCUCCUCAAAUUAUGAUUACUUUCAAAAUAAUGAUGAUGGAAGGAGUUUUAAAAAUCUUAGUCCAUUAAUCGAGUCCCCUGUCCCAAGUUACUUGGAAAGAUUUUUUUUUUUUAAAAAAAUAUCUUGGUCCAUUAAUCUUUUCUAUGGAUACUCGAUAUUAUGUGAAUUAUAUUUAUUGUACAAGUUGCUGCAAGAGUUACAAAUCCAUAGCCAAUUAACACUCCUGGCUAUCUCGAAAUAGAAUCAAGCAAAGCUAAACCAUACUACUAGCCUUUGAAUCAGUCCUCAUAAUAUAGCCGUAUGACUUCUAGCUCUACGAAUUAAUUCAUGAAUGUCUUUAUUACCUUAAGAUAUGAUAUCCAAACUCAUAAGCUAUGCUAAAAACAACAUGUACAUUCCAAAGGCUCACUCCUGAUAAAGUUACGAAAAUCCUUCACUGAUGAAUUAAUUUGACUUAAUGAAUUAUGAUUCUACCACCCAUGAGUCCUAAUGAUGAUAAUACUUGAUUAUGAGUUUAAGGUGGCUUAAUCUCAAAUAUGAACCCAAGUUGGUUAAUUCUCAGGCAUGAGCAACCAUGAAUAUGAGCCUAAUAUGGCUAAUCUAUGAACAUGAAUCAGUAAGAUAACAUUAUGAGCAUAAGGGAGUUGGUCAGUUGACCGUGAAGGCAUAGGUCUAAAUGACAAAUGCCUGAAACUAUGUUUGCCGACAUAGGAUAAAGAUCAUUUCGCAAGCGGAUGACUCUUUUUUUGAUGUGUGCCGAAAAGGGGCUAACUAUGGAUACUUGCUAGAAAAUUAUGUCAUGUCACGUCCUAUGCCCUGCAAGGUAUAGGACGGCUAAGAUGAUUGGGCCGAGAUCAGAAUUCAUGCACUAACAUGGUGGUUUAUGAUGGUUCACUACUUUCUCCCACAAAUAAUCAAAGCAAUUAAAUCUACCUUAAUUGGUCAAUUAUAAAUUUAGUUUAUAUUCUUGUUCCUUUCCAGUUGUCCUCUUUUACGUUUGAUUUUAAUUGUCAUUUCUAAUCUCUUGAUGUACUACCCUCCUAAAAUGGUUUUGCAUGCCAAUACAUUCCCCGUAUUGACCGCCUUUGGCGCUACAUCAUUUCAUGAUGUAGGUUCUGGCUCUCAUGUCCGCGGUCAGGCGCCUCAUUAGGAUCUCUAUCUUCUACUAUUGGUGAGCGUCUUUCCUAUUAGGAAGUUGGACGAGAUAUGAUGACUUCAUUAUAUUUUCUUUUCUUUUAGUAUUGGUACUUAUUAGAGGCUUCACAGGAUUUAGUUGCUAGACAGAUCUUGUAAUUUUUAUUAUAUUUGUCAUGACUAUUGUAUCUUCAGACGUUAAGUGAUAUUAAUGAACAUUGAUGAAAGACUUAAUCCUUUAAGAAAUCUUAUUCUAGUCUAUUUCUUCUUUAUUCAUUAUCUGUAUGCUCAUGUGAUAUGCCAAAACGUUCGCUCGUACUAGCAAUAGUAUCGGGUGUGUGCCGCGUCUAGGGCCUCGGCUCGGGGCGUGACAAACUUAGUAUCAAAGCACAGAUUUCAAGUGUCCUAGGGUAUCUAUGAAGCCAUGUCUAGUAGAGUCCUUUUUAUGAGUGUGUAGUGCACCACACUUAUAAUGAGGAGGCUACUGGCCAUUUAGGAGAACUUUUUCGUUCUUUCAUAUUCUAGACCGUACGAUAAAAUGGUGCCAAAAAAAUGACUUACUCAAAUUCGUGCGUUUCUCACAUUUCACUAUCUUCUCCUCAUCUUUAAGGUAGUAGGAGUUAUGAAACUCAUAUCCUUAUCAACUGACCACACAAGGGCUUUUUAGUAGCCCAUUAGUCUAUUUGGGUCUAUAAAUUCAAAAAAAAAAACUAAUAAUCUUGUUCUUAUAAAACGUGCUUUUAAGCUAUAGUAAGAUUGUUCUCCCAGGCCAUCUGCAAAGACUUAUUCCAGAUGACACCCUUAACGGGGGAAGAGUGUGUCUAGACUCUUAGAUAGUGUUGUACCCGAGAGAUAUUGCUAUUUGGGAUUUUUUGUGGUAUUCCAUAGGUAGUAAUAUAAUCUCAAGUUCGAAAAGAUGAAGUCAUCAGAGUAGAAGAUGAAAGUGAGGAUAGCAAUUGAUUGGAGUAUGUAGCAACAGUUGUAUUUAUUAAGCGAGAAAUGGGAUGGAAUGUCCUUUGGUGUUGGCUAGGGUGUAUCAAGACUUGAAAAAUUUUAUGAUAGUUAAUAGAGGAAGAAUGGUUGGUUAAGACAACUUAGAGUAUACUUUGUUUAAGAAAGAAGUUUAUUAUUUCUUAAGUUUAUGUUAGUAAGGAAUGAUAGUAAUGUUGUGAAGGAGAAUGUGUUUGUAGGCUAUGAGACAAAUGGUGUGAUUUAGAUUGGCUAUGUUGUCAUGAUACCUGAAUAGAAUAGUGGUUAUUGAUUUUUUUAUAACAUACAGUUUGAAUUAGUAUUAUCAGAUAGUGUUGCCAUCCGUGUUUAGUAGACACUAAGCUUGAGCUUUAGACAACCACAAUGAUGAAUGAAUAGCGGUAUAAGGGUGAUAGCACUAGUUUUGGAAAAUAGAUCUAGUGCGCUUAAUUUUUUCGUGUUGAAGAUCUUAAGUUUGAUAAUUUAGCAAUAGUGUGAAUCUGCAAAAAAAUAAUACAUAUGUGGAAUAGAAGUGAAACAGUGAACUGUAGCUAAGUCCUUAGAUAAAGAAGGGCCUUAAGUUAUAUGAAAAUAAAGGUGCACCCGAGGUAGUAUGUUACUAUAUAAGAUUCUAAGUUAUUUAGUGCUAUGUGAUCCUAGUUAGUACCCUUGAGUCUCUAAGUGUGGAGAAGCCUAGUUAUGUAGUAUGGGGAGCUCUUGAGAGUUGAAUUGAGAGUAUUAUAAAUGGAUGAUGUUGAGCCUUUUCGUCAAUUUUAAUUUCCAUUGGAGUGGGUGGAUAAAAAUUUAGGGGUGUGAUGUUAGUAGAUUAAGAAGGGAAGAUCAGGUAUAGAAGAAGUGGUUAUGUAUACCAAUGAGACCACAAAUUAUAAAAUGAUGUCUACAAAGUUUAGAGAAUGUUAAGAUAAGUAUCUUAGGAUGAAUUCCUAGCAAGGGUUGCAUACCUAAAGAUAUAGUAUUCAGAGGAGUAAGGUGAUGAUAGCUUAGAUUUGAGAAUAGGUCUGCAUACUUUAAAUAUUGACUUUGACCUAAGGGGAAGAUGAUAGGGUAAAGAAAAAAAUGGGUCUUGAGAUGCAGAUAGUAAGGGUUUUCAGAAAAGAGAGAUGACGAGUUUCACUACCAUUCAAUCUUAUUCUAGCGUAUUUCAUGACUUCAGCCAAGAUGACACUCUACCCAUGAGUUAUGCAUUCAUAUCGUGCCUAUGUCUAAGAUCCAAAUUUUUAUGUGCAAAGUCAUGUCCAUGUUAUAACCCUAGAAUAGGAAACAAUAACUUCACACCACGAUCCUAAUAUUACUCUAAGGUUCUAGAAGUCCAGGUUCUGUGCUACGUUGUUCCUGAACCAAAAACACAUGCUUACGAUAGGUUCAGUUCUAAGAAACCAAACUUUAUGAUAUGUUCUUAGCUUGUGCUAUGUUAUCCCCAUUCCCGAAUGACUCUUUAUUCACACCUUAUGUGUUUUGGUACAUGAAGUAUUUGCUCCUAUUAGACAUAAACAGUAUCCGUUCUAUUCCUGGUGCUCUUAUUCUAGACUUUCAGUGGUAUUCCUUAUGUCAUGGCAGUGGUAUGAUAUCAAUGCAUGAGUAAUGGUUGGAUAGGAACAAGUAGAUGUUUCUUGUUAUGAUGAUUGCGGUGUACUAGUUCCAUUUAAGAUCAUAAGUAUGGAUGAAGUGCGAGAUGACGAUUAGAUAUUUGUAAUAGUAAGAUGAGGUCAUAUGGUUUGCCUCCUAGUAGGAAUUCAUGAAAUUGUGGGUCAAGGGGUUCUAGGGAAGACGAGGAAGAUUUUUCUUUUUAUAUAAUGUUAACUUUAAAGAUAUCAUGAAGUGGUUAUGGUGAUAGACUUGGAUAUCAAGUUGAUACCUAUAUGGGUAAAUGCAUAAUGAAAUUUGUGAGUUCUUAAUUAGAGCACGAGGAUGGUAGUUUUUGCAAUGAGAAAAAGUAGUAUUCUUAGAGAUAACUGUAGAUGCAAGCAAGAGCUUCCUGAGUUUUAGAACAAACCUAAGAUAAAGUGAACAAUAAAGAUGAAUGUUCCUAAAAGGGGAAAUACAUUAUAGGAUUUUAAAAUUUAGACUAGCAUGAUUGUUUUAGGUGUGACAUCUUGUACCUCUGAGUUAGGCUUGAAUAUGUUAAGAAUGUGUAAUUAGAAUCAGACUUUAGUAUAUGUAUAUGUCCAUGUGAGUUGGAAAUAAUGAAGUGUCGUAUUCAGAGGGAAAAGGGGUAGCUUCGAAAGGUGUUGCUAAGAUCUAAGGAUACAAAUAUUAGAGGUGAAAAUGCUCCUAUUCCUAUGUGUAAUGUACCACUGUUUCAUGUCAUAUAACUUCUUAUCGAAGGGAACUUAUGUCCAAGUCUUCAUUAUGUCCUUCAUGCUCUGUGAAACCAAAUCAGAUAACUAAAAUACCCCUAUGGCUCAUGCCUAUGAUUUCAAUGAAUUCAAACCUUAAGUUGGUAUGUUCAUGUCCCUUCAAACCCAUGUCCUAUGUCAUGUCUGGUUAACUCUCAUUCCCUAGUUUUUGCGCGUAGAGUUUUUUUUCAUAUGUCUAUAACCUUCAUUUGAGGACGAAUGAUUCCAAGGGGGAGAUAUUGUAACAUCUCACACUCAGUAACUUGUGAAGUACCUUCGAGGGAAAAUUCUUCCUUUCCUUUUUACCUUUACCCCAAGUGAUUAAAUUCCUUUUUGUUCAUCCGUAUUCAAAUUUUUGUUUUUCCUCUAGCAGAUAUUAUUUCAGCAGAUAGAAGUUCUUUAUUUUUCCAUCUGUUACAAUCUCUUUGUUUUCCUCACUUACUCACAUUAAAAACUCCAUCAAUUACAAUCUCUCUGCCUUCCUCAAUUAAUUACACACAAUAAAAAAAACUGCAAUUUCUCCAACAGUUAUACAAACUAUUUCAUCAUCCAGAAAUCCAGCUUUCCUCUCAAAUUCAAUCAUAAAAAAAAAAAGAAAUCCGAGAGAAUUGGCUCAAGGAUCAAUUUUAGUUUCGUCCCUUCCGGUAACUAACUUCUCUAACGUUUUGAGGUAUAUAAGAUUAUUUCUUUUAUGUUUUCUCUUGUUUUUUUUAUCCUCAAAUUAUGAUUACUUUCAAAAUAAUGAUGGUGGAAGGAGUUUUAAAAAUCUUAGUCCAUUAAUCGAGUCCCCUGUCCGAAGUUACCUGGAAAGUUUUUUUUUUUUUUUUAAAAAAACAUCUUGGUCCAUUAAUCUUUUCUAUGGAUACUCGAUAUUAUGUGAAUUAUAUUUAUUGUACAAGUUGCUGCAAGAGUUACAAAUCCAUAGUCAAUUAACACCUGGCUAUCUCGAAACAGAAUCAAGCAAAACUAAUGUAACACCCCAUACUUUCAGACUUGAACGUAAAUUAUCAUUUCUACUUGUACACAUUCCAAAAACCAUAAAUCUAUUGUGAAUAUAGUGUUUUAAUCAACUAUGUGGUGUAUAAAUCUAGUUGAGCAUGAAUUGAGAUCAUAGAGGUCCCCGAACUCAAGGACGAGUUGAAAGCUUUUCCAUCGAUUGAGUUUUAGUAAGCGUCAAAACUUGGGUCAACUUAAAUUGGUCAUUAAUAUUUGUAUAUAUUGAAUUAGAGUUCAUACUAUAUAUCAAAUGAAAGGCCUUCGAAUUAUCUUUCUAACGAUACCAAUUUCGUAAAAAUCCGACACCCUAGGAAGAAGAUAUGGCUUUACAAAGUGGAGUAUGUCGUGCAGCAUAAGGUGUGCGACGCGCACCCUAACUUAUGCCAUCGGUGUGCGACGCACAGCCUAAUGUGUGCGAUAAAGAGUGCGCUGCACAACCUAUAUUAUGCAAUAAGGUGUGCACCGCAUACAUUACUACUCAAGUGACUUAAACACUCCAUUUUUGGGGCAAAAUGGUCCUUUUUCCACCCUUGUUUAGCCAUGAAAACGAAAUUCAGUUCCCAAAUACCAAAAAUAUACCUUCAUUCAUCAAAAUUGCUCAAGAACUCUCCCUAGGGUUUCAAAAUAAAAACCCAAGCAACUCAAGAUUCAACUGUGGGUUCUUGAAACUAAUUGCAUAUUUGGAAUCCCCAGAACGUAGGCUUCAAGAAACGCCUAUCAUCUUCGCAUAUAGAGGUACGUGGGGUUAUCCUAAAAUCUCAUGAGCCUUUAAAUUCAUGUUUUACAAUGGGGGUUUUGAAACUACGAAUAUAAUCAUGUUUUGAACGUUUCUAUAGUAUUGAUUUGGUCUUUAAGCCUAUUUCCGAAAUGAUUUGACAUAUUAUAUAUGUCUAUGCAUGUGUUUCGAAAAGGUGUUAAUUUGAGAGCAUGAAUUAUAUGGAAUUCCUCUCUUGAUGUGAAUUUGUUUUAAAUGUUCAUAUGAUGUAAAUUUUUUGAAAACAUCUUGAAAAGCAUGACAUGAAAUGUUUUGAGAAUUGAUAUGAUUUUGACUUGAAAAUGAGAGGGCUAUUUGUGUUGAAACAUGUUGAAUACCAUAGUUGAAUGAGAAGAAUGAUGUGAUAUUGAUGGCUUGUAAGUCGGGUAUGACGAUACCCUACAGAAUGUGAUAUGUGAUUGAAUCACAUGAAAUUUGAAUGCAUUGAUUUUACAUGAGAUAGGUGGAUGCCCGAAGAAGGCGUUUGAGUGUAAGGGCUCAUCACUGGAAAUCGUGUUUGUCGACAUGAGAAUUUGGUAUCCUUCUUUGUGAUCUUGCAUAACUAACUUUAUGUCAUUCCUAAGUUGGGACUAUGGUUAGGAGCCCUGCUUUGUGAUCUUGUGCACUACCAUUGGGUCGAGACAUCCUGCUGUGUGAUCUUGUGUGUCUUUCCUUCACUUAUACUCUAAUCUCGGCAGCAAUCGAUGUUUGACAGUUGGAGUAAAUGUGAUAUGUAGGGUAUUCCACCUAGCUCAGCUGUAAUACAUUGUUGUUGAAAAAAAUUACACUACGCCCACGUGUUUUCAAAUGAUUUGAUAUGAAACUGCUUUAUAAUGACUCUCAACUAUAUUUUGUAAAAAUAUUAUGUUUUGUUUUGAUAUCUCUGCGUACCAGUACGUUUGUACUAACCCCCUUCCCUCCCAGUUCGGAGGCAUAGUCUAGGCGUUCAGAAAAUUAGUAAAUUCCUCAGACAGAUCUGCAGAGUCACUUGGUGAGCCUUCUAUAUUUCGGAAGGCAUGAUAUCUGGCAGUUUCAUUUAUCAUUUAUUAGUUUUGGGUCUACUGGAAAUGAUUUCAUAUGAUUCUUGACCAUGUUUUCGUAAUAUUAUUUAUCUUCCGCAUUUCUUUUAUCAUAUGAGUUAUGUGCAUAAUUAUCAGACAAAUAGGGAUAUUUUGGGCCUUCAUGGUUCGGAAUGCUCGUCACGGCCAGGGCCCCGGUUCGGGUCGUGACAGCUAAACUAUACUACUAGCCUUUGAAUCAAUCCUCAUAAUCUAACCUAGCAUAGCACACUGUAACUCGUUUUACACCCUAUAAUUUGAUCUCACACAGCACGUAUAGGCAUUUUCUUUGUCUAAUUAAAACUUCCAGUCUCUAGCUAUCCUUUCGAAGAACAUAUUAUUUAUUUUGAUCCGUAUGACUUCUAGCUCUACGAAUUAAUUCAUGAAUGUAUUUAUUACCUUAAGAUAUGAUCUCCAAACUCAUAAGCUAUGCUAAAAACAACAUGUACAUUCCAAAGGCUCACUCCUGAUAAAGUUACGAAAAUCAUUCACUGAUGAAUUAAUUUGACUUAAUGAAUUAUGAUUCUACCUCCUAUGAGUCCUAAUGAUGAUAAUACUUGAUUAUGAGUUUAAGGUGGCUUAAUAUCAAAUAUGAACCCAAGUUGGUUAAUUCUUAGGCAUGAGCCUUAAAGUGGCUAAACUAUGAAUAUGAGCCUAAUAUGGCUAAUCUAUGAACAUGACUCAGUAAGAUAACAUUAUAAGUAUAAGGGAGUUGGUUAGCUGAAUGUGAAGGCAUAGGUCUAAAUAAAACAUGCCUGAAACUAUAUUUGGAGACUUAGGAUAGAGAUUAUUUCGCAAGUGGAUGACUCUUUUUUUUAUGUGUCCCGAAAAGGGGCUAACUAUGGAUACUUGCUAGCAAAUUAUGUCAUGUCACGUCCUAUGCCCGGCAAGGUAUAGGACGGCUUAGCUGAUCAGGCCGAGAUCAGACUCCAUGCGCUCACAUGGUGGUUUAUGAUGGUUCACUACUUUCUCCCACAAAUAAUCAAAGCAAUUAAAUCUACCUUAUUUGGUCUAUUAUAAAUUUAGUUUAUAUUCCUGUUCCUUUCCAGUUGUCCUCUUUUACGUUUGAAUUUUAUUGUCAUUUCUAAUCUCUUGAUGUACUACCCUCUUGAAAUGGUUUUGCAUACAAAUACAUUCCACGUAUUGACCGCCUUUGGCACUACAGCGUUUCAUGAUGUAGGUUCUGGAUCUCAUGUCCGUGGUCAGGUGCCUCAUUAGGAUCUCUAUCUUCUGCUAUUGGUGAGCCUCUUUCCUAUCAGGAGGUUGGACUAGAUAUGAUGACUUCAUUAUAUUUUCUUUUCUUUUAGUAUUGGUACUUAUUAGAGGUUUCACUGACUGAUUUAGUUGUCAGACAGAUCUUGUAAUUUUUAGUAUUAUUUGUCAUGACUAUUGUAUGUUCAGAUGUUAAGUGAUAUUAAUGAACAUUGAUGAAUGACUUAAUCCUUUAAGAAAUCUUAUUCUAUUCUGUUUCUUCUUUAUUAAUUAUGUUAUCUGUAUGCUCAUUGAUACGCCAAAAUGUUCGCUCGUACUAGCAAUAGUAUCGGGUGCGUUCCACGUCUACGGCCUCGUCUUGG
rnacentral:lncRNA from 1 species